UUACACACAUUCAAAUCCCUUAAUCGUUUACAAAUAUAUACACACUGAAAUAAAAGAUAAAGUCACAUAGAAAAAACACUCGUUGGCAUGCUAGGGCGCACGCGGGUGCGUCCCUGGCCGUCGCACACACUGGGGUUCACUGGGGGGGAAAACAGGCCCCCUCAGGCCCGCGUCGGUGGCCAGGUACGGCCUCUGUAUCUGGUAGGGUACGACGACUGUCGUCAGCACCUACACAUUAAUUAAAAAAAAAACUACUACUGCUUAUAAAUACAAAUGGUAACAAAAGUUAACCGCACUUAGCUCUUAAUGUUUCUCAGGUAGAUGUAUAGAAUAUAAACGUGUGGUGAUUGUAGUAGUGACUGCAUUUUGUGAUACUGUAUGCUGCAACACUAAGGGCGGCUUGCAGAGUCGUUCCGAGAAUUCUCCGAGUGCGAGUGGAGUUUGAGUGGAGGAAUUUUCAUUGCACAGUCGAGAACGGAGUAAAAACGAAGUAAUAUCCGAAUGAAACCGAGUAAAAACGAAGGAUAGUUGGAGUGUACGCGCAACCGCACUCCGAGGGCCCUCGGAGUGAAAUAUGGAAAAACAUUCAAGAUGGCUGCGUUGUUAGAACCAAUUGAUGUGGAAUUUCUUGAUUUAAUUGAUGAAUUUUUUCUAGAAAAUGAAGAAAGAAACGUUGCCAGGGAUCCACGUCGGUAUUUGAGGGAUUUUGAAAAUCCACUGGAGUGUUUUAGUGACGUGCAGUUCAAACGACGAUAUCGUUUUACCAAGGAUGUUCGGCAUCACAUUCUGCCUUUGCUAGUGUUUGAAGAACCACGGAGUCGUCGAGGAUUACCGCUACCGCCUGUCCUGCAGCUGCUAAUUGCCUUGCGAUUUUACGCAACAGGCACUUUCCAGAUGGUGGCAGGCGAUUGAACAGGCGUUAGCGAGUCCACAGUUUCCCGAAUUAUCAGACGUAUCUCUGUCGGUUUAGCGCAACAUACACGACAUCUGAUACGGUUUCCCACUGGCGAUGAAUUUCGCUUGAACAAGCUACGAUUUUACAACAUUGCACACUUUCCCGGUGUUACAGGAGUAAUUGACUGCACGCGCAUUAAAAUCAAAAGCCCUGGCGGUGCUCGGGGAGAAGUAUACAGCUUAUUCGAAGAUGGGCGUGUGCAGGGACUGCUGCUGGGAGACCCACAGUUGCCAUACCUGUUCAUGCCCAUACCAGAGCAGUCAGUCCGUACAGAUGCAGAGCAGAGGUACUCAUGGCUCAUGCUCGGACGAGGAAUCGGUGGAAAGGAUGUUCAGUGUUUGGAAGCAGCGCUUUCCCUGCUUGCAGCUUGUUUUACGAAACAAGCUGCAGACGACAGCAGCUAUCAUUGUUGUCUGUGCCAUUUGUCACAGCAUUGGUAUCAGGCACAAUGAUUAUAUGGAAGAAGCUGAGCUGCAGGCAACAAUGAUGUGCCAAUCCCACCAGUUCCUCUGCGACCUGCGGGCUGAUUACGAACACUAUCGACGACUAGCGUUAUUCUUCACGCGGUAACGAAACACGUAUCGCAUUUGGUGAUUACGACCCACCUUGCGAUAUGCGUUUCGUUAUUUUCCACGGUAACGCUGACCUGCGAUACGAAUCCAUGACGUCAGAGGACAAGCAACAAUUGAACAAUUAAUAUGUUCGUCGAACAGACUAUUUUGUAAGUGAAUCAUGAAUACUUAGUGUUACUGGGAACAAAAUAUUCUUUUUUAACGCACUAAUUUCUUAAAUAAAGUCUUUAAAGCUUUUUUUGCUGCCUUUUUCGUAGAAGUUUAAAUCAAAAAUGCAGUUAAAGAUUUCGCGUCGUCAUUGUGGCUAACUGCGUCUUGCCAUGUAAACAUAAACAUCGAACGAGAAGCAUGUUUAAACUUCAAUAGAAUGAAAAUGAGGCCACUCUACAGGUUACAAAAUUAAAGGAACAACUAAUUACCACGAACCCGUGUCUGUUUUUAUUUUACCUAUUAUUGAUAUGAUAUGAAGAGUGGAAUUAAAAAAAAUAUUUAGUCAAGUUUUGUGUGCUUGUGUAAAAACAUAACCUUAUACUUCAAAGUUAUACAUAUAUGUGGUUGAUGAUAUAUUUAAGUGGUUAUUAGCAUACCUAAUAAAAACUACACUUUUUAACAUAUUUCCAGCGGUGAGCUUUCUAGUUUAUGUAAUCUAAUCAGUUAAAAUUUUAUAAAUAUAUUUUAAUACUCAUGUGCUUUCGUAUAUUUUAUAUACAAGUGUUUUGAAACAAUGUUUCCAAGAUAUUAGUACCAUUCGUAAAUAAAAAUAAUUUUGCUAAUAUUUAUAUUAUAGGUCACUCAAACAUUUUUUACUCCCUUCGUACACUUGGUAAAGUUUAAUUACAGUAAAUUAUUUAAAUUUGUGGUUUUCUUGACUAGAGUGCACAUGCCGCUAUUAAAGAGGACACUGUGUUGAAUAUUUGUGUUCUCAGUUAAAAUAAGCCUUAGAGUGGCACUGGUAAAGUUACUGCUGCCCAACAGAAAUCAUGGUGUGGUUUAUUAAGAGCCACAGAGAGUUUGCAGCCAAUUUUUCUUCAAAUAAUGAAUGUGAAGCUUGCAUGUAUCUGUGGAUUUAACUGACAAAGAGGCUUAACAAACGUUUAGGGACAUUAAAAACCAUUGACCAUUGGCAAAAUAUUAGUUUUCUUUUUUUUUUCUUUAGUGAAUAUAGCAUUACAAUUUUUAUGUAAGCAGCAGCCUUCAAUUACAAUGGAGAAGAUAUGGGCUACUUUUUGUAUUUUCAUUUUUUGAAGUCUGUUUUAAACUCAGUGUAUUGGGUUGCAUAUUCUAAGGAUAAAAUUAGGCCCAUAAUGUUUCAAUUUAAAAAGAUUGACAUUUUAAACAGUUAUUAUGGAACAGUUCUUGAAAAUUUUCAGUGUAAGAACAGUUUAUUUUUAUAAUCUGAGGAUAUGAAAGUUCAUUGCUAUGUUUUUUUUAAUUGCUGUUUAAUUUAAUCUCACCAAUGACUUAAACAAGUGAAACUAAGUACUGAGUAAUUAGAGUAAGUACUGAGUAAACAACUUUGUUUUCAAGAUGGCAUUCAAGUUGGUUAAUGAUCCAACAUGUAUGUAAAUUAUUAAUAUGCUGCAAUUAUUUUAAAAACUGUCUAGAAAUAUUCAAUAAUUUUAAUUCUCCCCUCCCCCUUUUUUUUCCAUUAAGAUAAAUUAAUAGAUUACUUUUUCUCAGCAAGUUUAGAAAUUGAUGGUUUAAUAUGUAAAAUAAUAUUCAGUUUGAACAAUUUCUCAUGUACAUGCAUUCCAAUUAUUUAAUCCAUUUUUUUUAAUUUCAGUAAUGGAUCAACAUGAUAUAUGCUGCAAUAAAAAGAGCAGCUUAAGCAAUAGCUGCUAAGAUAACAGCUGGCAAUAUUAUCCAAGUUAUAUUUCUGAGCAGCCUUGACCAGUGAAUUAUCCAAAUCUUCGGUACAGCAUCAUUGGGAAUGAUGUAGAUUCUAGAAGGUGGUUUUGUCCCUCAACCUCUGGUAGACAUUAUAUUGUGUUAGUCAUGCAUUUUGUUUAUCCUAUACUUUUCCAAAUAUUUAUUUGAAAAUUAAAUAUAUAUUUUUUUCAAUACUGGUAUGCUUCCAAUUUUGUUUUUUGAGAUUGGUGUAGUGGGUUUAAAAUAAGAGUGGUGAAAAUUAAGUAGUUAAGAUACCUGAAAGUUGACAGAGAGAAAUUGGAGGUGUGCUACAUUUAAAAUGAAACACAAAAAAAUGACUUGCAUAAACAUGGAAGUGUUAAUAGUUCAUAUUAAAAAAAAUUAAAAUUAAAGUUGUUCUACUCAGAAGUGUAUGCAGAAUUUUGU